UGGGGAAUAUUGGGCAAUGGGCGAAAGCCUGACCCAGCAACGCCGCGUGAGGGAAGAAGGUUUUCGGAUCGUAAACCUCUGUCCUUGGGGACGAAAGAAAUGACGGUACCCAAGGAGGAAGCCCCGGCUAACUACGUGCCAGCAGCCGCGGUAAUACGUAGGGGGCGAGCGUUGUCCGGAAUGAUUGGGCGUAAAGGGCGCGUAGGCGGCCUGUUAAGUCUGGAGUGAAAUUCCUGCUUUCAAGGUAGGAAGUGCUUUGGAAACUGGCGGGCUGGAGUGCAGGAGAGGUUAGCGGAAUUCCCAGUGUAGCGGUGAAAUGCGUAGAGAUUGGGAGGAACACCAGUGGCGAAGGCGACUUACUGGGCCGUAACUGACGCUGAGGCGCGAAAGCGUGGGGAGCGAACAGG
rnacentral:rRNA from 2 species